rnacentral:rRNA from 1 species
AACGAACGCUGGCGGCAGGCUUAACACAUGCAAGUCGAACGCCCCGCAAGGGGAGUGGCAGACGGGUGAGUAACACGUGGGAACGUGCCCUAAGGUUCGGAAUAUUCCCGGGAAACUGGGAGCAAUACCGAAUGUGUCCGAGAGGGGAAAGAUUUAUCGCCUUAGGAUCGGCCCGCGUCGGAUUAGCUAGUUGGUGGGGUAAUGGCCUACCAAGGCGACGAUCCGUAGCUGGUCUGAGAGGACGACCAGCCACACUGGGACUGAGACACGGCCCAGACUCCUACGGGAGGCAGCAGUGGGGAAUCUUGGACAAUGGGCGCAAGCCUGAUCCAGCCAUGCCGCGUGGAUGAUGAAGGCCUUAGGGUUGUAAAAUCCUUUCGCCGAGGACGAUAAUGACGGUACUCGGAGAAGAAGCUCCGGCUAACUUCGUGCCAGCAGCCGCAGUAAUAC